UACGGAGGGGGCGAGCGUUAUUCGGAAUCAUUGGGCGUAAAGGGCGCGUAGGCGGCCCCGUAAGUCUUGGGUGAAAGCCCUCGGCUCAACCGAGGAAUUGCCUUGGAUACUGCGGGGCUCGAGGCUGGAAGAGGGUAGCGGAAUUCCCGGUGUAGCGGUGAAAUGCGCAGAUAUCGGGAGGAACACCAGUAGCGAAGGCGGCACUCUGGGCCGGUACUGACGCUGAGGAGCGAAAGCGUGGGGAGCGAACAGG
rnacentral:rRNA from 1 species